ensembl:snRNA U7 U7 small nuclear RNA
UAGAAAAUGUGCUCUUUUAGUAUUUGUCCAGUAGGUUUCCUCAAGGCCAAAGCCUCC